AGAGGGUAGUGGACUGUCGGAGCUCUGCGACUCACGGCGACGGCGGCUCCGGGAGAGGCGGCUGCCGGGCUCUUGCUGUCAACAGCAGCGCUCCUCCAACGAGCCACUGACCACCGAACGAGCUGCAGCAGCUCCAGGCCGCGACUCCGGCGAAACAGCAGCGGUAGUUGGCGGCGACUUCGGACGAGCUAACGGCGGCGGCGUUCCUCCAGCAGGCGUUUUGACCACCGAUCUCAGACAGCAGCGGCAACAGCAACACCUGUCGGCGGCGGUUGCGCCGGAUCCUUCGCGGGUCUCAGGCGGCGGCGGCAGAUCGCGUGAGAGGGUGAGAUGUGCG
rnacentral:lncRNA from 1 species